rnacentral:rRNA from 1 species
UACGGAGGGGACAAGCGUUAUUCGGAAUUAUUGGGCGUAAAGGGUGCGCAGGCGGCGUGCUAAGUGAGAAGUGAAAGCCCACGGCUCAACCGUGGAACGGCUUCUCAUACUGGCAUGCUAGAGUAUGGGAGAGGGAAGUGGAAUUUCCGGUGUAGCGGUGAAAUGCGUAGAGAUCGGAAGGAACACCCGUGGCGAAGGCGGCUUCCUGGACCAUGACUGACGCUGAGGCACGAAAGCGUGGGGAGCAAACAGG